UACGAAGGGGGCUAGCGUUGUUCGGAAUUACUGGGCGUAAAGCGCGCGCAGGCGGUUCUCCAAGUCAGUGGUGAAAGCCCGGAGCUCAACUCCGGAAAUGCCAUUGAAACUGUUGAACUUGAGGACGAGAGAGGUGAGUGGAAUUCCCAGUGUAGAGGUGAAAUUCGUAGAUAUUGGGAAGAACACCGGUGGCGAAGGCGGCUCCACUGGCUCGUAUCUGACGCUCAGGCGGCGAAUAGCGUGGGGAUCAAACAGG
rnacentral:rRNA from 1 species